UCUUCUACUCUUUUUUCUUUUUCUUUCUUUUCGUUUCCUUUUUUUUAAUUGUUGUCCAAUUAUUCUAAAAA
rnacentral:ribozyme from 1 species